GUGAGGAAUAUUGGGCAAUGGAGGCAACUCUGACCCAGCCAUGCCGCGUGCAGGAAGACGGUCCUAUGGAUUGUAAACUGCUUUUAUACGGGAAGAAACACCCCCUCGUGAGGGGACUUGACGGUACCGUAAGAAUAAGGAUCGGCUAACUCCGUGCCAGCAGCCGCGGUAAUACGGAGGAUCCAAGCGUUAUCCGGAAUCAUUGGGUUUAAAGGGUCCGUAGGCGGCCUUAUAAGUCAGUGGUGAAAUCUCCUAGCUCAACUAGGAAACUGCCAUUGAUACUGUAGGGCUUGAAUUAUUGUGAAGUAACUAGAAUAUGUAGUGUAGCGGUGAAAUGCUUAGAUAUUACAUGGAAUACCAAUUGCGAAGGCAGGUUACUAACAAUAUAUUGACGCUGAUGGACGAAAGCGUGGGUAGCGAACAGGAUUAGAAACCCUAGUAGUCC
rnacentral:rRNA from 1 species